UUCUACGGCCAUACUACCCUGAACACGCCCAAUCUCGUCUGAUCUCGGAAGCUAAGCAGGGUCAGGCCUGGUUAGUAUUUGGAUGGGAGACCGCCUGGGAAUACCGGGUGCCGUAGGCU
ensembl:rRNA 5S_rRNA 5S ribosomal RNA